GACGAACGCUGGCGGCGUGCUUAACACAUGCAAGUCGAGCGAUGAAGUUCCUUCGGGAAUGGAUUAGCGGCGGACGGGUGAGUAACACGUGGGUAACCUGCCUCAUAGAGGGGAAUAGCCUUCCGAAAGGAAGAUUAAUACCGCAUAAGAUUGUAGUGCCGCAUGGUACAGCAAUUAAAGGAGUAAUCCGCUACGAGAUGGACCCGCGUCGCAUUAGCUAGUUGGUGAGGUAACGGCUCACCAAGGCGACGAUGCGUAGCCGACCUGAGAGGGUGAUCGGCCACAUUGGGACUGAGACACGGCCCAGACUCCUACGGGAGGCAGCAGUGGGGAAUAUUGCACAAUGGGGGAAACCCUGAUGCAGCAACGCCGCGUGAGUGAUGACGGUCUUCGGAUUGUAAAGCUCUGUCUUCAGGGACGAUAAUGACGGUACCUGAGGAGGAAGCCACGGCUAACUACGUGCCAGCCGCCGCCGUAACAC
rnacentral:rRNA from 1 species